rnacentral:rRNA from 1 species
GACGAACGCUGGCGGCGUGCUUAACACAUGCAAGUCGAACGGAAAGGCCCUGCUUUUGUGGGGUGCUCGAGUGGCGAACGGGUGAGUAACACGUGAGUAACCUGCCCUUGACUUUGGGAUAACUUCAGGAAACUGGGGCUAAUACCGGAUAGGAGCUCCUGCUGCAUGGUGGGGGUUGGAAAGUUUCGGCGGUUGGGGAUGGGCUCGCGGCUUAUCAGCUUGUUGGUGGGGUAGUGGCUUACCAAGGCUUUGACGGGUAGCCGGCCUGAGAGGGUGACCGGCCACAUUGGGACUGAGAUACGGCCCAGACUCCUACGGGAGGCAGCAGUGGGGAAUAGUGCACAAUGGGCGGAAGCCUGAUGCAGCAACGCCGCGUGCGGGAUGACGGCCUUCGGGUUGUAAACCGCUUUCGCCUGUGACGAAGCGUGAGUGACGGUAAUGGGUAAAGAAGCACCGGCUAACUACGUG